CAGAAAGUAGUUUAAACAAAACAAAAACUUUGGGAGUUUUAGACUUAGCAAUACUAACUUUCUGA
rnacentral:tRNA from 1 species